rnacentral:rRNA from 1 species
CAAGGUGCUGCAUGGUUGUCGUCAGCUCGUGCCGUGAGGUGUCGGGUUAAGUCCCAUAACGAGCGCAACCCUUAUCGUUAGUUGCCAGCGGGUCAUGCCGGGGACUCUAGCGAAACUGCCGGUGUAAACCGCGAGGAAGGUGGGAUGACGUCAAAUCAGCACGGCCCUUAUGUCCAGGGCUACACACGUGUUACAAUGGCCGGUACAGAGGGCAGCUACCUGGAGACAGGAUGCGAAUCUCGAAAGCCGGUCUCAGUUCGGAUCGGAGUCUGCAACUCGACUCCGUGAAGCUGGAUUCGCUAGUAAUCGCGCAUCAGCCAUGGCGCGGUGAAUACGUUCCCGGGCCUU